CGGAUAAAAGGUACUCCGGGGAUAACAGGCUGAUACCGCCCAAGAGUUCAUAUCGACGGCGGUGUUUGGCACCUCGAUGUCGGCUCAUCACAUCCUGGGGCUGAAGUAGGUCCCAAGGGUAUGGCUGUUCGCCAUUUAAAGUGGUACGCGAGCUGGGUUUAGAACGUCGUGAGACAGUUCGGUCCCUAUCUGCCGUGGGCGCUGGAGAAUUGAGGGGGGCUGCUCCUAGUACGAGAGGACCGGAGUGGACGCAUCACUGGUGUUCGGGUUGUCAUGCCAAUGGCACUGCCCGGUAGCUAAAUGCGGAAGAGAUAAGUGCUGAAAGCAUCUAAGCACGAAACUUGCCCCGAGAUGAGUUCUCCCUGAGACUU
rnacentral:rRNA from 1 species